rnacentral:RNase_P_RNA from 14 species
GAGGGCCGGACGGCCGCGGGAAACCCUCGGGUUUCGUGAGGAAAGUCCGGACUCUACAAAACGACGGUGCCGGGUAAUGCCCGGGCAGAGCGAUCUGACGGAGAGCGCCACAGAAAACAGACCGCCCGCAGCCAUCUGCCUGUCAGAUGAUUCCUGUGGGUAAGGGUGAAACGGUGGGGUAAGAGCCCACCGCACCCCUGGCAACAGGGGUGGCACGGCAAGCCCCACCGGGAGCAAUGCCGAAUAGGGAUCGCGCGCGCCUGCGGGCGCAGGGCCGCUUCCGCCCGAGCGAUCCGGGUUGGCAGCUGGAGCCGCGUGGCAACGCGCGGCGCAGAGGAAUGG